CCUACGGGCGGCAGCAGUGGGGAAUAUUGCACAAUGGGGGGAACCCUGAUGCAGCAACGCCGCGUGGGUGAAGAAGUACUUCGGUAUGUAAAGCCCUGUCAGCAGGGAAGAAAAUGACGGUACCUGACCAAGAAGCCACGGAGAACUACGUGACAGCAGCCGCGGGAAUACGUAGGGGGCAAGCGUUAUCCGGAUUUACUGGGUGUAAAGGGAGUGUAGACGGCAAGGCAAGUCUGGAGUGAAAGCCCGUGGCUCAACCACGGGACUGCUUUGGAUACUGUGUAGCUGGAGUGCAGGAGGGGGAAGCGGAAUUCCUGGUGUAGCGGUGAAAUGCGUAGAUAUUAGGAGGAACACCGGUGGCGAAGGCGGCUUACUGGACUGUAACUGACGUUGAGGCUCGAAGGCGUGGGGAGCAAACAGGAUUAGAUACCCCUGUAGUC
rnacentral:rRNA from 1 species